rnacentral:rRNA from 1 species
AACGAACGCUGGCGGCAGGCCUAACACAUGCAAGUCGAGCGAAGCCUUCGGGCUUAGCGGCGGACGGGUGAGUAACGCGUGGGAACGUGCCCUUUGCUACGGAAUAGCCCCGGGAAACUGGGAGUAAUACCGUAUGUGCCCUUCGGGGGAAAGAUUUAUCGGCAAAGGAUCGGCCCGCGUUGGAUUAGGUAGUUGGUGGGGUAAUGGCCUACCAAGCCGACGAUCCAUAGCUGGUUUGAGAGGAUGAUCAGCCACACUGGGACUGAGACACGGCCCAGACGCCUACGGGAGGCAGCAGGGGGGAAUCUUAGACAAUGGGGGAAACCCUGAUCUAGCCAUGCCGCGUGAUCGAUGAAGGCCUUAGGGUUGUAAAGAUCUUUCAGUGGGGAAGAUAAUGACUGUACCCACAGAAGAAGCCCCGGCUAACUCCGUGCCAGCAGCCGCCGUAACAC